rnacentral:rRNA from 1 species
UACGGGGGGGGCAAGCGUUGUUCGGAAUUACUGGGCGUAAAGGGCUCGUAGGCGGCCAACUAAGUCAGACGUGAAAUCCCUCGGCUUAACCGGGGAACUGCGUCUGAUACUGGAUGGCUUGAGUUUGGGAGAGGGAUGCGGAAUUCCAGGUGUAGCGGUGAAAUGCGUAGAUAUCUGGAGGAACACCGGUGGCGAAGGCGGCAUCCUGGACCAAGCACUGACGCUGAGUGAGCGAAAGCCAGGGGAGGCAAAACCGGG